UGCGUAGGCGGGAUAUUAAGUCAGUGGUGAAAGCCCCGAGCUCAACUUGGGAACUGCCAUUGAAACUGAUGUUCUUGAAUAUAGUUGAGGUAGGCGGAAUACAACAUGUAGCGGUGAAAUGCAUAGAUAUGUUGUAGAACACCAAUUGCGAAGGCAGCUUACUAGACUAUUAUUGACGCUGAGGCACGAAAGCGUGGGGAGCGAACAGGAUUAGAUACCCUGGUAGUC
rnacentral:rRNA from 1 species